CGCUAAUCUAGACCUACAGUCUUGUUCAAUAUUCUGCAAAACUGACUGCUCUAGAAGGACCAAAUGCAAACCAGUCCUGAUGCCAUGCUGUUUUGGGGGCAUUCUACAUUACAUUGAUAAAUCAUGCAGGCACAAGUCAUUUGUCAAAAAUACAUUUACUUGAAUCAAAUUUGCUUUGCACGCAGAGGAUGCUAGACUUGUACCUAGUUUUCACUAAAUAAUUUAUCAAACUGAUUUUCUUGAAAUACAAUAAAAAUCCAUAAUAAAAUUAA